GACGAACGCUGGCGGCGUGCUUAACACAUGCAAGUCGAACGGACAGACAGAGAGCUUGCUCUCUUGAAGUUAGUGGCGAACGGGUGAGUAACGCGUAAUCAACCUGCCCUUCAGAGGGGGAUAACAACGGGAAACCGUUGCUAAUACCGCGUACGAUUCAUGAACGGCAUCGUUUAUGAAUGAAAGGUGGCCUCUAUGUAUAAGCUAUCGCUGAAGGAGGGGAUUGCGUCUGAUUAGCUAGUUGGAGGGGUAACGGCCCACCAAGGCAAUGAUCAGUAGCCGGUCUGGGAGGAUGAACGGCCACAUUGGGACUGAGAAACGGCCCAAACUCCUACGGGAGGCAGCAGGGGGGAAUCUUCCGCAAUGGACGAAAGUCUGACGGAGCAACGCCGCGUGAGUGAUGAAGGUCUUCGGAUUGUAAAGCUCUGUUAAUCGGGACGAAAGAGUUCUGCGUGAAUAAUGCAGAAAAGUGACGGUACCGGAAUAGAAAGCCACGGCUAACUACGUGCCAGCCGCCGCCGUAA
rnacentral:rRNA from 1 species